rnacentral:rRNA from 1 species
UGGGGAAUAUUGCACAAUGGGCGCAAGCCUGAUGCAGCAACGCCGCGUGAGGGACGACGGCCUUCGGGUUGUAAACCUCUUUUAGUAGGGAAGAAGCGAAAGUGACGGUACCUGCAGAAAAAGCACCGGCUAACUACGUGCCAGCAGCCGCGGUAAUACGUAGGGUGCGAGCGUUGUCCGGAAUUAUUGGGCGUAAAGAGCUCGUAGGCGGUCUGUCGCGUCUGCUGUGAAAACCCGAGGCUCAACCUCGGGCCUGCAGUGGGUACGGGCAGACUAGAGUGCGGUAGGGGAGAAUGGAAUUCCUGGUGUAGCGGUGGAAUGCGCAGAUAUCAGGAGGAACACCGAUGGCGAAGGCAGUUCUCUGGGCCGUAACUGACGCUGAGGAGCGAAAGCGUGGGGAGCGAACAGGAUUAGAUACCCUGGGUAGUCCACGCCGUAAACGUUGGGCGCUAGAUGUGGGGCACCAUUCCACGGUUUCCGUGUCGCAGCUAACGCAUUAAGCGCCCGCCUGGGGAGUACGGCCGCAAGGCU